rnacentral:lncRNA from 1 species
CCACUUUCUAGAGGCUGCAGCAUUCCUUGGCUCAUGGUCCUGUUCCUCCAUUUUCAAAGCCAGCAAUGAGUUAUGUCCUGCGGAAAGAGACUAAGUUACUGAGGAACUGUGGAAGUCAGUGUCAUAUAAAAUAUCAGAAUCGCAUCAAAGGACACAUAGGAUUCAAGACAUCAUAUCACAACUGUUUCGAGGCCUAGUGAGAUGGGAAUUAGAGAUAGAGUACUGGUUGCCAAGUUCAUCCGAAGUACACCUGCAAGUAAUAAUUGGAUCCACCUUGAACUCUUUAAUAGAUUGUGAGCUCCUAUUCAGCAGGGAUUUAAUAGGGAGAAUCCUUUGAAGUUUGGUUUGAAGGCAAAUCCCAACUUUAGCUGAAGCUGUUUAUAAGAUGCCAACCUUUCCUGAGCAACUAAAUUUUAACACCACCCUCUCAGGCUGUGUGUCUAAAUGAAGAUCCAGGAUUACAUUUUAAUAG